AUACGGAGGGUGCAAGCGUUGUUCGGAAUCACUGGGCGUAAAGGGCGCGCAGGCGGUUUGAUUAGUCAGAUGUGAAAGCCCACGGCUUAACCGUGGAAGUGCAUUUGAAACUGUCAGACUUGAGUAUCAGAGGGGAAAGUGGAAUUCCCGGCGUAGAGGUGAAAAUCGUAGAUAUCGGGAGGAAUACCGGUGGCGAAGGCGACUUUCUGGCUGAAUACUGACGCUGAGGCGCGAAAGCGUGGGGAGCAAACAGCAUUAGAAACCCGAGUAGUCC
rnacentral:rRNA from 1 species